AUUGAACGCUGGCGGCAGGCCUAACACAUGCAAAUCGAACGGCAGCACAGAAGAGCUUGCUCUUUGGGUGGCGAGUGGCGGACGGGUGAGUAAUGUCUGGGAAACUGCCCGAUGGAGGGGGAUAACUACUGGAAACGGUAGCUAAUACCGCAUAACGUCGCGAGACCAAAGUGGGGGACCUUUGGGCCUCACACCCUCGGAUGUGCCAAGAUGGGAUUAGCUAGUAGGUGGGGUAAUGGCUCACCUAGGCGACGAUCCCUAGCUGGUCUGAGAGGAUGACCAGCCACACUGGAACUGAGACACGGUCCAGACUCCUACGGGAGGCAGCAGUGGGGAAUAUUGCACAAUGGGCGCAAGCCUGAUGCAGCCAUGCCGCGUGUAUGAAGAAGGCCUUCGGGUUGUAAAGUACUUUCAGCGGGGAGGAAGGCGGUGAGGUUAAUAACCUUGCCGAUUGACGUUACCCGCAGAAGAAGCACCGGCUAACUCCGUGCCAGCCGCCGCCGUAA
rnacentral:rRNA from 1 species